rnacentral:rRNA from 1 species
GAUGAACGCUGGCGGCGUGCCUAAUACAUGCAAGUCGAGCGAACAGACGAGGAGCUUGCUCCUCUGACGUUAGCGGCGGACGGGUGAGUAACACGUGGAUAACCUACCUAUAAGACUGGGAUAACUUCGGGAAACCGGAGCUAAUACCGGAUAAUAUAUUGAACCGCAUGGUUCAAUAGUGAAAGACGGUUUUGCUGUCACUUAUAGAUGGAUCCGCGCCGCAUUAGCUAGUUGGUAAGGUAACGGCUUACCAAGGCAACGAUGCGUAGCCGACCUGAGAGGGUGAUCGGCCACACUGGAACUGAGACACGGUCCAGACUCCUACGGGAGGCAGCAGUAGGGAAUCUUACGCAAUGGGCGAAAGCUUGACGGAGCAACGCGGCGUGAGUGAUGAAGGUCUUCGGAUCGUAAAACUCUGUUAUUAGGGAAGAACAAAUGUGUAAGUAACUAUGCACGUCUUGACGGUACCUAAUCAGAAAGCCACGGCUAACUACGUG